rnacentral:rRNA from 1 species
GACGAACGCUGGCGGCGUGCUUAACACAUGCAAGUCGAGCGGUAAGGCCCUUUCGGGGGUACGACGAGCGGCGAACGGGUGAGUAACACGUGGGUGACCUGCCCUCAGCUCUGGGAGUAAGCCUGGGAAACCGGGGUACUAAUACCGGAUAUGACUCCAUGACGCAUGUUGUGGGGUGGAAAGCCUUGUGCGGCUGAGGAUGGGCCCGCGGCCUAUCAGCUUGUUGGUGGGGUGAUGGCCUACCAAGGCGACGACGGGUAGCCGGCCUGAGAGGGCGACCGGCCACACUGGGACUGAGACACGGCCCAGACUCCUACGGGAGGCAGCAGGUGGGGAAUCUUGCGCAAUGGGCGAAAGCCUGACGCAGCGACGCCGCGUGAGGAUGA